CCUACGGGCGGCAGCAGUAGGGAAUCUUCCACAAUGGGCGCAAGCCUGAUGGAGCAACACCGCGUGAGUGAAGAAGGGUUUCGGCUCGUAAAGCUCUGUUGUUGGAGAAGAACGUGCGUGAGAGUAACUGUUCACGCAGUGACGGUAUCCAACCAGAAAGUCACGGCUAACUACGUGCCAGCAGCCGCGGUAAUACGUAGGUGGCAAGCGUUAUCCGGAUUUAUUGGGCGUAAAGCGAGCGCAGGCGGUUGCGUAGGUCUGAUGUGAAAGCCUGCGGCUUAACCGAAGAAGUGCAUCGGAAACCGGGCAACUUGAGUGCAGAAGAGGACAGUGGAACUCCAUGUGUAGCGGUGGAAUGCGUAGAUAUAUGGAAGAACACCAGUGGCGAAGGCGGCUGUCUGGUCUGCAACUGACGCUGAGGCUCGAAAGCAUGGGUAGCAAACAGGAUUAGAUACCCGGGUAGUC
rnacentral:rRNA from 1 species